rnacentral:lncRNA from 1 species
GUGCUUGCCAAGCCUGCUUUCUGUGUGCUGCUCCUGUCUAUACUGGGCUCGGCUCUGGGGCGCGGCGGCAGGCGCAGGGACUGCAACGUGCCCGACGUGCUUCGGCAUUACCGCGCGGUCAUCUUCGAAGAGUUGCAGGCGGUGGUGAGCGAAAACCCCGCCAGGAUUGGCUUUUCUUGGGGAGGGAUAUGGGAUGUGGGAUCAGUACCUGCAGCCGGGGAGCUGCUCCUGGGAAUGGGAUAGGGGGGUCGCAAGAACGCCGUAUUCAGGCUUGUUGGGGAGGGGCAAGGGUCACUCCACAAGUCCCUUCUUUGAUUUUAUCCAGAAAAACUUGACGGGCACCGGGGCUCUCAGGCGCCGGGGACGAGGCGCCUCCUGCCGGGCAGAAAAGGAGCACCGCAUCUUGAUGUCUAUCUCAUCCAUGGGACGGGCUCUGCGCAAGGCAGUGGCAGGGGCCGGGGCUGGACCCGGACGCCGCCGCGGAGCCCUGGAGAAGGCCGUGUGGACAGUGGCCAUGCACACUGAGGCAGUGACCCGAGAGUACUGCGGGACUCUGCAUCAGCGAAGCCAGAAGCGGCUGAGCCAGGAGUGGCAGGAGCGGAAGCGGGGUCCGGAGAUGGAGCCAGAGCUGAACCUGGAGCCGGCCCUUGCCCCGGGUCGGAGUCGGGGUCGGGGUCAGAGACGGCGUCUGUUGGGAGCCGUGGAACACUUGGCUGCCUGUUGGGAGAAAUUGUUUUUUCUGCGCUCCCUGGCUUCGGCCGCCGGGAGCUAUUAG